rnacentral:rRNA from 1 species
GCAUAUCAUAACCGGAGGAAAGAACUAACAAGGAUUCCCCUAGUAACGGCGAGUGAAGAGGGAAGAGCCCAAGAUUGAAAGCUGGCGUCUUCGGCGUCCGCAUUGUAAUCUCAAGAAGUGUUUUCCGCUUCGGACCAAGCCUAAGUCCCUUGGAAAAGGGCAUCAUAGAGGGUGAUAAUCCCGUACAUGGCUUGGAGCGCCCGAAGCUUUGUGAUACGCUUUCUAAGAGUCGAGUUGUUUGGGAAUGCAGCUCCAAAUGGGUGGUAAAUGCCAUCUAAAGCUAAAUAUUGGGGAGAGACCGAUAGCGAACAAGUACAGUGAUGGAAAGAUGAAAGAACUUUGAAAAGAGAGUUAAACAGUACGUGAAAUUGCCAAAAGGAAAGUAAGGAGCUGAGCUAAAUGCGGCCUGGAAUCAGCCUUGCUUUGCUUGGUGUUUUCCCAAUUGAGGCUUGUUUGGGAAUGCAGCUCAAAAUGGGUGGUAAAUUCCAUUUAAGGUUAAAUUUGGGGAGAGACCGAUAGCGAACAAGUACAGUGAUGGAAAGAUGAAAAGAACUUUGAAAAGAGAGUAAACAGUACGUGAAAUUGCCAAAAGGGAAGGGUAGGAGGUCAGAGAUGCGGCCUGGGAUUCAGCCUUGCUUUUGCUUGGUGUUUUCCCAGAUUGCAGGCCAACGUCGGUUUUGGGCACUGGAGAAGGGUAGGAGGAACGUGGCACCUCUCGGGGUGUGUUAUAGCCUCCUACUGGAUACAGCGACCGAGACCGAGGACAGCAGCGUACUCGCAAGAGCGGGCCUUCGGGCACCUUACGCUUAGGGCGUUGGAAUAAUGGCCCUCUACCACCCGUCUG